GACGAACGCUGGCGGCGUGCCUAAUACAUGCAAGUUGAGCGCUGAAGGUUGGUACUUGUACCGACUGGAUGAGCAGCGAACGGGUGAGUAACGCGUGGGGAAUCUGCCUUUGAGCGGGGGACAACAUUUGGAAACGAAUGCUAAUACCGCAUAAAAACUUUAAACACAAGUUUUAAGGUUGAAAGAUGCAAUUGCAUCACUCAAAGAUGAUCCCGCGUUGUAUUAGCUAGUUGGUGAGGUAAAGGCUCACCAAGGCGAUGAUACAUAGCCGACCUGAGAGGGUGAUCGGCCACAUUGGGACUGAGACCCGGCCCAAACUCCUACGGGAGGCAGCAGUAGGGAAUCUUCGGCAAUGGACGAAAGUCUGACCGAGCAACGCCGCGUGAGUGAAGAAGGUUUUCGGGUCGUAAAACUCUGUUGGUAGAGAAGAACGUUGGUGAGAGUGGAAAGCUCAUCAAGUGACGGUAACUACCCAGAAAGGGACGGCUAACUACGUG
rnacentral:rRNA from 1 species